rnacentral:rRNA from 1 species
UACGUAGGUGGCAAGCGUUGUCCGGAUUUACUGGGCGUAAAGGAUGCGUAGGCGGACAUUUAAGUCAGAUGUGAAAUACCCGAGCUUAACUUGGGUGCUGCAUUUGAAACUGGGUGUCUAGAGUGCAGGAGAGGUAAGUGGAAUUCCUAGUGUAGCGGUGAAAUGCGUAGAUAUUGGGAGGAACACCGGUGGCGAAGGCGGCCCCCUGGACCGGAACUGACGCUGAGGCGCGAAAGCGUGGGUAGCAAACGGG